GACGAACGCUGGCGGCGUGCCUAAUACAUGCAAGUCGAACGCAUUGGGGACGGGUGAGUAACACGUGGGUAACCUCCCAUCCGAGGGGCUAACACUUGGAAACAGGUGCUAAACCGAUACUGAUGGAUGAACCCUCGGUGCAUUAGCUAGUUGGUGAGGUAACGGCCAACCAAGGCCACGAUGCAUAGCCGACAUAAGAGGAUGAACGGCAACACUGAACCUAAGACACGGCCCAGGCCCUUACGGGAGGCAAGAGAAGGGAAUCAUAGGCAAUGAACGAAAGUCUGACAGAGAAACGGCGAGUAAGUGAAGAAGAUAUACGGAUCGUAGAACGCUGUUGAUAGAGAAGCGGUAUCUAACCAGAAAGCCACGGCUAACUACGUGCCAGCCGCCGCGGUAAUUC
rnacentral:rRNA from 1 species